ensembl:lncRNA
CCAUGGUGACAGAGAAGACAACACAACACUGGGGCAGAUGAGAGCUGAGACGCAGAGCCCUUCUGAGAAGCAGCACAGGCUAGCUGGGAACCAGGAAUUUCCUUGACGAAACAGACCAGAGGGAAGCCUUGGGAUCUUGGGGCAGUGACGAGGAAAACCUCAGGGUUGGAGGAAGGAGGGGCCUAGAGGCUGCUAUUAAAAGAAUAAGGAAAAUGCUCUGUAGAGUUAGUAAAAGAUUAACACAGUUCCCCCCAAUGUCGUAAGAUCCCAGAGCAUUGCCAAAUACCCUUGGCAUCUCGUGGGAUGAAGUAUGAAGAGAGGUGGGAAGUUGGGGGACAGGGGUCAGGAAAAUGAAGAUCCCACAUCUGAAAGGGGCGAAAGGGUUACUGUUUUGUGAAGUUGAACCCAAGCAUUGCAGGCCUGAAGGAAUGGGAAGAGCUAAGGGCCGGGGAGCCAGCCUGCAGCGGAGGGAAGUGUGCACUUACACUGAUUUAUUGCAGGAGCAAGGAAGGCUUGAAAUGUGCUUCUGGCCACAAGACAAGACAGAUGCCCCUCUGCCAUGUGCCACUAUGCCUUGGAGCCAGCCAAGAUUGAAACUUCUAUGAAUCCAAUGGGAAUGGAAUCCAAGGACACUUGACCACUGAGAUAUAUCCUCAUUCCUUUUUAAAAUUUUAAAAAUUUAAGAUACAGUCUCACUAAGCUGGCCGGGCUAGCCUCAAACUUGGAAUUCUCCUGCCUCAGUCUCCCAAGUAGCUAGGAUCACAAGUGCACACCAUAGUACCUAGCUAUAUAGUAUUAUGUCAUUUUAUAAAAGGGACUUGAACCCUGGCAGAUUUUGGUAUCCUCAGGGGUCCUGGAACCAGUUCACCUUGGAUAUUGAAAGAGAGAGUUAGUAUACAUUAACAUCCUGGACCUAACUACAGUGGUCAAGACAUCCUCUACAUGAGAUCAUAAGGGCAAUAGAGUACUAUGAUAAGCACCUAAAAUAUCAAAAAAGGGCCAAGUCAUGUUCCAAAUACCCUACUAAACAAAGCAAAGAAGAAUGUAUAUAGCUUUGAGAGCCCAUCAGAAUGAUUUCAAUUUAAACUUGGCACCCAAAGAUUAAACUUUUUAACACCUUAGAACAAUUCAUCCUUCUGGGGUGCUAAACAACUGAGAUUUUUAUCAUACAGCCUCAAAAUAGCUAAGGAAGAGAUUCUAAAUCAGGUUGAUGUCCUCCUUUUUUUUUUCUUAGUUAUUAUGUAAGGGAACAACUACACUUUAGAACCUUAUACAUAAAUCAGCCUCCAUUUAAUGGCCCCUGGGCCAGCGUUCUUCUGGUGUCAAAUAUGGGGCUCCAGUUCACUCCCAAAGGGAGAGGUGCCCAGCUCUGCUUUAACCUAGAAAUCUCCACUUGAAUCCUCCCCUCUGAGAAAAUCUGGCCUCUUGGAUGACCUGCAGUUAUCCUGGGAACUGGGUUGCCAAAACAAAAGUGCCAUGCCUGAUGUACUAAUGAAUUCAUGGAAAUGCCUAAUGAAAUAAGGUUAUAAGGAGGCAUUGGAAAAGUUUUUCUCUCUUUUCUUAAAAAAGCUGGCCUUUCUUUUUGUGAGUAUAUGUACAUACACACACACACACACACACACACACACAUUUUCCAAAUGCCCUAAAUUAGUUCAGGUUCUGGCCUGACUUUUGCUUUUCUCCUUCUGAGAUCCAAUUUCCUUUCUCAAAAUUCAGGGGGUUUUAUUGGCCUUACUUACAUGGCAUUCCAUAUGUUUGACAUAUUAUAGUAUCUUCUCUCUUCUUCUAGAAUGAAAGCAUCUUCAGGCAGGGUCCGUGUCUUCUUCCUUUUAAAUCUUUUAUCUCCCCAAACAUCUAGAAUCCACAAUGCCUUUCCCACUCUCAACAAAUGUUUAUUGUUUUCACUUACUCCUGUAAUAGUAAUAAUAAUAAUAGUAUAACACAUAUUUAGCACUUACUAUGUGCCAGGCAUCAUUCUAGGUACUUCAUAUGUAUUAAUUUAUUCAAUCCUCCCAACAACCCUAAUAUUAUACAGAUGGGGAAACUGUUGCACAAGUUGAUCGAGUAACUUUCCCCAGGUCAUGGAGCCAAUAAGUUAUCACUGAGCUGAGAUUUGAAGCCAAUCUGUAUAGGUGUAUCAGUCAGUAUUUACUAGAGAAAAAGAUAUAACACAAAAUAUACAAAAAUAGAUGAAUUUACAAGAUUGGCUUACAAUGGCCUCCUACAGAGUCACAUGAGGAAGAAUGCAGAGGAUCUGUCUGAACACUGGAGUCCAAAGGAUUUAGCUGAAGGUCUGCAGUGUCCUUCAACUCACUGCAGUGUCCUGUACAAGUCCAUAUCAGGAGGCCAAUGGGUCUGCAAUGGAAGGCUGAUGAAUCUAUGCUGGAAGGCUGAAGGAUCCUAGCCAGAAGCUGAAGAGACUGCCCAGGAAGCCAGGAGAUGACAUCCAAGGUGAAGGCAAAGACUGGAGCUCCUCUGAAGAAAUAGAAGCACAAGUCUCCUUCCUCCUUCCUCAUUUCCCCUUGAUACCAUCCAGGCAACAAGCUGCCCUAGGGUGCAGAAUUGCUGAGCUGAUUUAGUUAAACUUCUCUUAACUAAACUUCUCAAGCUGACACAAUCAGUCAUCACAGUUGGCUCUACUGACCAUCUUCCAAACCACUUGGCUAUACUGCCUGGCCCAGUGUACAGAGGACCCAGAUAUGACUUAUCAGUUUAGUCCUCCCACACCUGUCCUUUGCUGUCACAGCAACAGAACAACUGGCUGGGAUAUAAAACAGUUACCACUUUCUAACAGGACUUGUCUGUAGCUGUAAUUGCAUCACAAAUGAGCUCCAUGGUUAUUGUCCUCACCCAAGCAGUCCUCACACAUCUGCAAAGCCUCGGGUGAACAAGAUGUGGUUAAAAGGUGCCUAGCUGAGGAGGCAGGAGCCUUCCAGGGACAAGACCACCUGAUGCGUAAGCAAAGCCUGUGGUGUGAUACGAGAGAACCAGGAUGGCUCCUAGCCUGCAGGCUGAUCACUUUGUUUUAGCUUCCAUCAUCAUUAGUUGGCUCUGUGGAGCUAACUGCCCUAUUCCUUUUGUGCCUUUGCUGAUGUGUACACAUUUCCAAAUAAAAGUCAUGUCUGGUGUAAGCAGAAGGACAUGUGGAUAUGGAAUGAGGGGGUCUGCAGCCACCCCCAGCCCAGUCACUAUCUCUGUAGAUAAGAGACCCCCAUUCCCCCUCCUCCUCCACAUCUUAGGAAAUAGAAAGGCUGGACUGGCCAUCUCCAAGGACACUUCCAGUUAUAAGAACCUGUGGACUUUGGUUUGGGUGGGCUCCCUGGACAGUCUUCCCUCUGGAAUAAGACAGUUAGCAUAAAAGCUCAUAUAAAAGGCUGGAGUCCCAAGAUCCCGUAGCUUGAGCUAGCUCUGGGCCAUGCCACGCCUCAGCCACCACUUCCAGCCCCUGGUUCCACAUUAGCCAAGCUUUGUUUUGAAAAGGUCCAGGGAGAAAUUUAUUGCUAUAAGCUGGAAGUUGAUUGGCCACAUUAAGAGCUCAACUUCCCCCUUCCUUUAGUCCCACUGACUACAAAAGGAGCUUUGUCUGCUGUAGGGUAGCCCUCCAGGAUGCGACCACAGACAGAAUUCAGCCUUUAAUAGGCUGCAGUGUCUGCUCAGAACACAUGAUUCCCUCUAGCACUGGGCACCCUGUACACUGAUACAGGCCAGGGAGCUAGAGCUGGGGCUGGCUACCUCUGAUGAGGCUAGAGUGAGCACUGGCUGAGGCCACCCUUCUCCCACCAUCCCAGAAUAAACAGAAGUUGCUAGACACAACCAAGUGAGCAAAGAGAUUGUCCUUUCUCUGGGGCUCCUUCUCGGAUUACAUUCUAAGGGGCCAUCCAGGGUCUCACCUGGUGAGGAGAAUCUGACAUGUGAAUAAGAUGGGUCAGAACCUUGUACUCAGAGCUUGCAACAUCUCCCUUUCUGCCUUCUCCCCACCUUCUUGCCUAGCCUACUGGCUGACAGCUCCACCCCACCCGAAGGCUAAACUGGGAGGCAGAGGAAAUUCUCAGGCACCUUGCAGUUCCUGGGAUCCUCUUCCAUCCUGGUUCCCAGGCCCUUCGGGGACUCCACCUGAACCAUCCUCAUCCACACACCCAGCCUUUCACUCUUCCUGCCCCCAGAUGCUCCUUCCUCUACUCUCAGAAGGUCCUCAUGAUCAAAAAGCAAUCUGUAAACCAAUCUAAGCUAGUUGUGAUUUCCCUGUGGCAAGGCUUCUGUCUUCUCCACAGCAGCUUCUCCCCCCAAGCUCUUCAGAGUGCCUGGUAUACCAGGCUCCUCUAAUACAUUUAUGCAAUCAUGAAAUGAAUGGGAAUAAACAUAAGUGAGUGGGUUAUAAUUAAGGUUACUCCUCUCAUGGGCAUGUGCAUUUUGUUCCUGUAACUAAAUCCUAGUGUGAGAGAGAUUUGAUGGCAAAACAUUUUCCACUGGCCAAAAGAUCUCAUCUAUUAGGUGUCUUCCCUACAUGUAAGAGGACCCUACCUGAGGUGGGCAUGGGGCUGCUUCCCGAGAGGGAAGUUGCCCUGGUGGGACAGAGGAAAGAAGCAAUGAUUUUCUGGCUUUCUGAAAAUGUGGCCUAGAGGCAGGCUCGAUUCUGCCCAGGCUACAAAAAAAGAAUUAUUCAACACUGCAGCUGCCCCAGCUGCAGGGAAGCAUUGAAAGGGUUUGGUCCAUCCACUGGCAGCCCGCCAAGCAUGAGGCCACAGCUGUAAUACUCAGACGAGAGGACAAAAGUCAGAGGGGAGAUGAGGACUGCUUGCAGUGGGAGAUGAGAGAGAGAUAAAGGUGCAGUGGACACUGGGGAAGGAAAUGGAAUCUGACACACAGAUGUUAUGGGAAAGGCUUUCCAUGGAGAGUGAACAGAGAAAGAGUCAAGGCCCAGUGACUAGAAGACAUAGCUAUGUUGGGCAAACAGUUUGGCAAGGUACCAGGUACAUGAAGAGAGUAGUUAAAAAUAAACCUGAAAGGUCAAUUAGGAUCCCAUCAUGGAGGCCCUUAGGCCAUGAUGAAGAAUUUGAAUUUUAUUCCAUAGGCAAUAGGAGCACUUGAGAAUCUUUUAGGGAAAAAUAAUGUGGAAUAAUGAUGGGAAUAAACCAAAAUUUUCUGAGCAUCAAAGGGCAGGAAUUUUUCCAGAUGUGGU